CUAAGGCUAAAUACUCUCUAGUGACCGAUAGUGAACCAGUACCGUGAGGGAAAGGUGAAAAGCACCCCGGAAGGGGAGUGAAAUAGAACCUGAAACCGUGUGCUUACAAGUAGUCAGAGCCCGUUAAUGGGUGAUGGCGUGCCUUUUGUAGAAUGAACCGGCGAGUUACGAUUUGAUGCAAGGUUAAGCAGUAAAUGUGGAGCCGUAGCGAAAGCGAGUCUGAAUAGGGCGUUUAGUAUUUGGUCGUAGACCCGAAACCAGGUGAUCUACCCUUGGUCAGGUUGAAGUUCAGGUAACACUGAAUGGAGGACCGAACCGACUUACGUUGAAAAGUGAGCGGAUGAACUGAGGGUAGCGGAGAAAUUCCAAUCGAACCUGGAGAUAGCUGGUUCUCUCCGAAAUAGCUUUAGGGCUAGCCUCAAGUGAUGAUUAUUGGAGGUAGAGCACUGUUUGGACGAGGGGCCCCUCUCGGGUUACCGAAUUCAGACAAACUCCGAAUGCCAAUUAAUUUAACUUGGGAGUCAGAACAUGGGUGAUAAGGUCCGUGUUCGAAAGGGAAACAGCCCAGACCACCAGCUAAGGUCCCAAAAUAUAUGUUAAGUGGAAAAGGAUGUGGCGUUGCCCAGACAACUAGGAUGUUGGCUUAGAAGCAGCCAUCAUUUAAAGAGUGCGUAAUAGCUCACUAGUCGAGUGACACUGCGCCGAAAAUGUACCGGGGCUAAACAUAUUACCGAAGCUGUGGAUUGUCCUUUGGACAAUGGUAGGAGAGCGUUCUAAGGGCGUUGAAGCAUGAUCGUAAGGACAUGUGGAGCGCUUAGAAGUGAGAAUGCCGGUGUGAGUAGCGA
rnacentral:rRNA from 1 species